CACGAAUCGAAGGGGGAUAAUUCAAUAAUACUCGAGUUGUGCUUGAUCACGUGAUAUAUUCACAUGCUUUGGUGAAUAUGGCGGUUGCUGCUUGUGUUGGUGCGAGGUGACACUUGGAUGUUUACGGUGCAAAUGAAGGAAAGGAACUUCGACUCUAUUAUGUUUUGUUCUAAAUGGCUUUGACAAGGAAGGAAGCUUACAAUACACUUGAGUUGCCCAUUGGU
rnacentral:lncRNA from 1 species